rnacentral:misc_RNA from 1 species
AAAUGGCCAGAUAUUUUCAAUCCAAUUAUAUUAAAAAAAUAUUAAGGUAACUUGUAAAUGAAGACAAGAAGAGUUUUAGGAGAAUGGAGUCUCUUUUCUAGAACUAUUUUAAUUCACGUACUCUAUCUAGUAGCAAUUAUCUUCAAGGAAGACAAUAAUGCUUGCGGUAUAAUACUGCUUAAAACUUUAUUCUAUCAUCUUCAAUUGGUAAUGAUGAUAACUUCCAAUUUAAGCCCUUCAACAAUAAUUCCUGUCUUAGAACCUCAUUCUUCCUUUUUCGUCUUCUGGACUUUAGAGAUAGACAUUAUACUACAAGAAAUCUGGUUACAUUUUUGACACAUCAAUAAGAAAACUAAGGAAAUAUAUCUUGCCUUUAAGACGCCAAUCAGCAGUCAAGGGAAGAUGCUGAGAUAGAAUUAGCCCCAUCUAUAGUGACACAGCCUAUUGCCAUAUAAGAAAGCAUAUAGACAUAUAUUUUUUGCUUGAAAUGAUUCAUGAGUUAGUGAAUUGGUGGUGCCAUAUUUUAGCAAAAAUCAUCUGCUGUAAGUCUUGAAUAGUGUUUGAAUCCUUUUCACUCCAGUCUCUCCCUCUUUUCUUUCAGUGGAUGUUUUAGGCCAGGCUCUACAUACUUCUUUUCUCUUGGAUUAUUAUAUUUUCAACGCAAAAUUUAAUGAUAGGAGAUUUUACCAAGAUUUUUAUAAUCUUCUUAACAUGCUACGAGACUAACUAUUUUUAAAUGAAUAAAUAAUUUAAGUUGGAGAAAAAGGAGCAGCCUGCAAAGCUUAAUUCCUGAUAUAAGACGGGAAAUAAAACAUUACUCACCAUCUAAAAGAGCUUUAUAAGACGGGAAAUAAA